UACGGAGGAUCCGAGCGUUAUCCGGAUUUAUUGGGCUUAAAGGGUGCGUAGGCGGCCUAUCAAGUCAGAGGUGAAAGACGGUAGCUCAACUAUCGCAGUGCCUUUGAAACUGGUGGGCUUGAAUGUACUUGAGGUGGGCGGAAUGUGACAAGUAGCGGUGAAAUGCAUAGAUAUGGCACAGAACCCCGAUUGCGAAGGCAGCUCACUAAGGUAUGAUUGACGCUGAUGCACGAAAGCGUGGGGAGCAAACAGG
rnacentral:rRNA from 1 species